UAACAUUGUGACAGUUUAUUUCUUCCUCGCGUGGUGCCUCAUUGCGAGCAUAUAGAAGCCGAUAAUUCUGACUAGCUGUCAUGAAGUGAGAGCCGCUCAAGAAGCUGGCAAUGCCACCAUUGUGCCUCAUCGCCUACUAGCAACUGGAGGUGGAGCUGAUGGCAGUGCUGGACCUGGAGCAUGCCCCGGGCAGCACGCUGGCCUUUGUCAAAACCGGAGUCGUGAGACGGGCCUAGAUAUCAAUCCUCACCCCGUUGUGGCCAUCCCACGCCACGCAAACGCUACACGCUCCACCUUCCCGUGAAGAAUUCCAAGGCUCGCGUCAACCGCCAUCCCCGUUGUCCACUGUAAACCGCAAGGCCAUGGAUUGUGGACAAGUUUGUUGAUUCUCAAUAUCGAUUCGGUGGAUUUUCUUUUCAAUGAUAUUGUCAUUAUGCGAGUACUUUUGGUAAAAUAGGGUCUAACCCCAGUGCAAAAAAGCACUGCCUUUUGCUAAAGUAAUUCUACGUCCUAAAAUCCGACUUUUUUUUAUAGCAAUUCGAGGCCCACAAGUCAAUCGUUUCCAUGUUGGUUAAUCGACAGGAGUCGUUUGCUCAUUGUGCUGCACGAUUGUUCUCUCUUUUCGCUCUCGAAUAAUUAGACAAUAGCACUCUGUUUAUACUGAAAAAUGACUGAUUUUUACAAAUGAUAAAUUCGGUCGAUUGCAGUAACUACUCGGUUGGCUUGAAAUUUGUCGUCUGCAGGCCGGGAAGAGAGCUGCCGAUGAAGAGCGUCAUCAAUUGGUGGAGGACAUCAUUUCAGGAUUUGCCAAGUGUCUGAAGGAUGAGGAGAGUGCCAACACCGUCGCACGGCAGUGGAACAGCGGUGGCGUCCAGCUCUCUCACCGCGGCUUUGUAGGAGAGGGCGACCGUCAAUAGAUAGGAAAGGAAGAGGGCCGUGCUCAAAUGGAUUUGUGUGGUGACUUUUAGGGAUGAUUGGGUCUAGGGUGGGUAGGGCCUAGACUUGGACCCUGUACCCGACCCUAUUAUAAUCGGUUUCCCUUUUCUGGACCCUAUACCCGACCAUGCUUGUAUUAGAUCCUGUACCCAACCAACCCUAUUGUUUUGG
rnacentral:lncRNA from 1 species